UCCUCAGGCUUUUGGAAUGUAAGCUGCCUCAUUUAGAGCCAGAACAGGACUCUAUACAUCAUUCUGCUGACUAUAAGACAGAAAUACCGUCUUCCCCCUACUUCCCCUUUCUGGUUUUAUACAUGCAUACUUUGCUUGUGGAAACAGUUAAGAUUGCCUGCUGGGGAGGAGAAGUUUCCUGGGCUGGGCAGAGACUGGAAAGCAAGGAGUGAAAGGAUCAAGACAAAAAAUAGGAGGACUCCCAGCAAGGAUCGUUGUCAUCUACCUGCGCUUCCUCUGCCUGGAAGGGACUGA
rnacentral:lncRNA from 1 species